GGAUGCGAUCAUACCAGCACUAAAGCAUCGGAUCCCAUCAGAACUCCGAAGUUAAGCAUGCUUCAGUGAGAGUAGUACUAGGAUGGGUGACCUCCUGGGAAGUCCUCGUGUUGCAUUCC
rnacentral:rRNA from 16 species